AGAAAGGAAGAUGAUGAUGUACCAACUUGCUGAUACUUUCAGGUGCACAUAGUGCUUUUCAUUUCACAUUAAUUUGUCAUCAGUUCUGGACAAUCAGCUGUGCAAUUCUCCCCUCUUGCACACGUGGUGUGCAGGCUACAGGCAACUGGAAGGCUCUGCCAGCACCAAGAGCUGGCUGCUGAGGCUGAGGACUGUGAAGAAAGGAACUGGCCAGAAAACCUGGAUUUCAUUCAUGGUGAAAGCCAAUUCAAGAGUGUGGAAUUGCCAAGGCCAGCAGGAGAAUUCAUAGCUGUUGAUGAGAGCAGGAAGGGGUCUUUUAUCUCCAGGAGGUACUUCUAGGAAUGGUUUAUAAUCAGUGAGAAAACAACAACAACAACAACUACAACAACAACAACAAAAAAGAAGCUCCAACUGAUAAGGAGAAAGGAGAGUUGGAGAGUUAGAUUCCACUUCUCAAUGCUUUGUUGCUCCCUUUCUUUCAGCGAGGAGCCUUGCCACAGGAAAUAAAAUGCUGUACCAAA